rnacentral:rRNA from 1 species
UACGUAGGGGCCGAGCGUUGUCCGGAUUCAUUGGGCGUAAAGAGCGUGUAGGCGGCCGCUUAAGUCCUGCGUGAAAUCUCGGAGCUCAACUCCGAGCGGUUGUGGGAAACUGGGCGGCUAGAGUGCGGGAGAGGAGAGUGGAAUUCCUGGUGUAGCGGUGGAAUGCGCAGAUAUCAGGAAGAACACCCGUGGCGAAGGCGGCUCUCUGGAACGCAACUGACGCUGAGACGCGAAAGCGUGGGGAGCAAACAGG